GUUUAGCGACUUGUUCUCUGAGCUUACUAGCUUGCUUCCUCAAAGCAUCCAUGGCUGCAAAUUGUAAUCUUUGCCGCUGGAUUACACAAUUUUUGGGAUUUGAUUUGCUUCUAUAUCUGAUCUGAACAAGGGCUACUGCUGCUGCUUCAAGAAAAGAAAGUUGCUUUUAGCUUUGAUUACUGAAAGCAGCUUAAUUUGUUUAGCAUUUCUUAAUAAUCAAUUUUUCU
rnacentral:misc_RNA from 1 species